GCAGACCGCUCCAGAAGGUUGUGGAUUGGAUGAACAGUGCCCAUCAACACCAUUUAAUUAUACCAGAGUCUGUGCUGGAGUCAACAGCUAUCCACUACAACACCACCUGCACAUGGGGAAUAUGACAGAAGUUCUAUGCAAUUCAGCUUGGAACAGUAUGCUUGUUCACA